UGCAGUCGAGCGAAUGGAUUAAGAGCUUGCUCUUAUGAAGUUAGCGGCGGACGGGUGAGUAACACGUGGGUGACCUGCCCAUAAGACUGGGAUAACUCCGGGAAACCGGGGCUAAUACCGGAUAACAUUUUGAACCGCAUGGUUCGAAAUUGAAAGGCGGCUUCGGCUGUCACUUAUGGAUGGACCCGCGUCGCAUUAGCUAGUUGGUGAGGUAACGGCUCACCAAGGCGACGAUGCGUAGCCGACCUGAGAGGGUGAUCGGCCACACUGGGACUGAGACACGGCCCAGACUCCUACGGGAGGCAGCAGUAGGGAAUCUUCCGCAAUGGACGAAAGUCUGACGGAGCAACGCCGCGUGAGUGAUGAAGGCUUUCGGGUCGUAGAACUCUGUUGUUAGGGAAGAACAAGUGCUAGUUGAAUAAGCUGGCACCUUGACGGUACCUAACCAGAAAGCCACGGCUAACUACGUGCCAGCAGCCGCGGUAAUACGUAGGUGGCAAGCGUUAUCCGGAAUUAUUGGGCGUAAAGCGCGCGCAGGUGGUUUCUUAAGUCUGAUGUGAAAGCCCACGGCUCAACCGUGGAGGGUCAUUGGAAACUGGGAGACUUGAGUGCAGAAUAGGAAAGUGGAAUUCCAUGUGUAGCGUUAAAAUGCGUAAAAGAUAUGGAGGAACCCCCAGUGGCGAAAGGCAACUUUCUGGUCUGUAACUUAACACUGAGGGCCGAAAGCGGUGUGGAGCAAACCGGGAUUAGAAACCCCUGGAAAGUCCCACGGCCGUAAAACCAAUGAAGUGCCAAAGGGUUAAAAGGGUUUCCGCCCCUUUUAGGGG
rnacentral:rRNA from 1 species